rnacentral:rRNA from 1 species
AAUGAACGUUGGCGGCGUGGAUUAGGCAUGCAAGUCGAGGGAGAACCCGCAAGGGGGACACCGGCGAACGGGGUAGGAUCACGUAGGUGACGUACCCUCAGGGCGAGGAUAGCCACGGGAAACUGUGGGUAAUACUCGAUAACCUUCUCGAAUGUGAUGGUUUGAGAAGCAAUGGGUGUGAUUCCACCUGAGGAGCGGCUUACGCAGUAUCAGCUAGUUGGUGAGGUAACGGCUCACCAAGGCUUUGACGCUUAGGGGGUGUGAGAGCAUGGCCCCCACCACUGGCACUGAGACACUGGCCAGACACCUACGGGUGGCUGCAGUCGAGAAUCUUCGGCAAUGGACGAAAGUCUGACCGAGCGACGCCGCGUGCGGGAUGAAGGUCUUCGGAUUGUAAACCGCUGUCAGAGGGGAUGAAGUAUACGAGAGCUAUCUCUUGUAUUUGACAGAGCCUCAGAGGAAGCACGGGCUAAGUUCGUGCCAGCAGCCG